rnacentral:lncRNA from 1 species
UUUUCCCUGGCAUUUUUUUGUUUUGCCUUGACAAGAUACUCCGAAUAAUUCAAUCGAGGCCAGAAACGUAUAUUCUUUCUGCUCGAAUCUUCCCUUCCAAAGCCAUAGAGUUGACACUGCCAAAAGAUCCAAGUACAAAAUCAGUAAUCUCUCUCCAAUUUAAAUGCGAAUAUGCUUUCUUAAUUCAUGACUGGGCCUAAAUAAUCAACCUACUCAACACACUAUUUCAGGGUUGAAGUAUACACCAACAAGCGUGAUUUAUGUCAAGAUCCCGAAUAUUUCAAAUUUUCAAUGGCAUCCCUUUAGCAUAACUUCUAGCUCCAAAGUUGAUAAAGACACUAUCUCUAUUUUGAUCAAAGCUGAGGGACGGUGGACCCGCACUCUCUAUAAUAUGCUACAUUCAAAGACUGACGCAGAAGCUGAUGGAAUGAGAUUUUUUCACGUAGCAACAGAAGGCCCUUAUGGACCUUCAUCAAUGGACUUUCUGAGGUGAAGGAAAUGAUGUUAUUUCAUGUUUGAUUUUAGACCAAGUUAUCAAUCAUAUUUCCCCAUAUAUAAUAAGUUGUUGAAUCUUCUGCAGAUAUGAUAGUCUACUUCUAGUUGCAGGUGGAAUUGGGGUUACACCAUUCUUCAGCAUUCUGCAAGAAAUUGCCUCAGCAAGAAGUAACAAAAAUGUAUUACCUGUAAAAGUACAGCUUGUCUACACCAUAAAAGAUUCCCAAAGCAUCUGCUUGUUAGACCCAGUCCUACCGCAGGUUUUUGAUGAAGAACAAAGUUAUCUACAACUUAAAGUGUU